rnacentral:rRNA from 1 species
AAAUUGAAGAGUUUGAUCAUGGCUCAGAUUGAACGCUGGCGGCAGGCCUAACACAUGCAAGUCGAACGGUAACAGGAAGCAGCUUGCUGCUUCGCUGACGAGUGGCGGACGGGUGAGUAAUGUCUGGGAAACUGCCUGAUGGAGGGGGAUAACUACUGGAAACGGUAGCUAAUACCGCAUAACGUCGCAAGACCAAAGAGGGGGACCUUCGGGCCUCUUGCCAUCGGAUGUGCCCAGAUGGGAUUAGCUAGUAGGUGGGGUAACGGCUCACCUAGGCGACGAUCCCUAGCUGGUCUGAGAGGAUGGCC